UUCAGUUGAAACCUAGAUGCUUAGUCUGUUAACAUGGUGGUGUAUUUGCUGUUUGAGUUUUUUUCUUAUUUCAGGAAAUUAAUUUACUGAAAGCCAAGGUAACCCCAUUUCACUUCUCCCUAUCAAAACAGGUAAGCCCAGCUGUAAGACCGAUAUAAGGAGACAGGGUCAGACAACACUGGCAGGGUAGGCUUUCCAUGUGCACAAAAGAGUGUAAAUAUACCACUAAUGUAACCAACCUAAGUGGAAGUGAGGCACUUCAUUGGGGGGAUUUAUUGGAAAAUUAUAGUUUGAUUAUUCAUUCAUUCAACAAAUAUGUAUUGACCACUUACCAUGGUGACACAGCCUCUGACCUCACAAAGCUUGCAUUCUAACGGUGGAGACCAUCAAGUAAACAAGUGUAACCAGGAUAACAUUUUGAAAGUGCUAAACAGAUGUAGUUUUAAUUCCCAUUAAAUCACAAUAGCCUGAAGCUUGCCACCAUAUAUGCACACAGAUGGACCAUACAAUCCAAACUUGGGCUAAUAAGGCUUUGUUAUAAGGAUGAAUAAGAGCUGGGGGCUAAAUAGUGAUAGGCAGAAGUGCAAACAAGUUGAAAUCCUGGAUCCCAGUGAGAGCAUUUGAGGAACUGAAAGAAGUUCAGCUGGAAAUAAGUGGCUGGAAUCAAAAAGGAAGUGGCAAAAGAUGAGGAUGGAGAAGUGAGCCAAAGUACAUCAACUCAUGUGGUGGGAUAUACUAUUGACACAGCUGUCUUAACCUAUGUGUGGCAAAAUAUUAGCUUACUAAAGACCAUUCCUCAUCACCAUUUUCCUUAGAGGAGUAUCAUGCAAAAAAAGAGAAGCCCAUGGUAGUCAAGACUGUGGCAAUACUAUACUCCCCAUCAACAGCCAGGUGCAGCUAGAAGAAAACUUCCAAGAAGAGGCAGCAGAGUCUAUAAGAAGAUGUUGAACCUGUGUUGGGCAGCUGGUCUCAGCAGGGCCUCUCCAGAAGGGGAGAUGCCUUGGCUGUUAGUUCUCUCUGCACCUCAGGAACCCAGGACAGAGAAUGAGUGAAGAAACCGAGGUCUUCCACAGUCAGAGGGCACGGGGAUGCUGGAGUACGCAUGGAAGGCUGGCAGGAGGUGAUGGGCCGGAGGGCUCCGGCAGGACCAGGCAACACCAGAUCUCUCUGAAAACAGAGGGGAGGAAUAAAACCAAAUGGACAAACAAACAAAAGAUGUCCCAGCUCAUUGCAAAAGAACAAGACGCUAUUUUAAAUACAAGCACAUUAAUAAAAAAAAUCUUGAUUCCAGAAAAGUUACACUGUCUUGCCUAAAAUCAUCUUGCCCUAUAGCCAAUGGUUUAGAGAAAUCAUGCUUUUCAAUGGGACCUCUAAAAAUAUAUACCAUUGUAUGGAUGGGAGAGUCUGUAAAGAGAAUUUAUACUAUAAUGAGUCAUUAUUUUAAAAAGCCCCAAUAUAUAAUCUGUGGCAUGUGUACAACAAAUGGUUAGAUUUCUUUUUGUUACUGAUAAAUUACUAAAAAGUCCAGCUUGUUCAAACAAAUGUUUUAUUGUUUUUACAAUUUUCCUCCUAAUUGAAAAACGGUCAAACAUUAAACAAUAUAUCUUCCACUGGGUGAAACAUAGUUGAACUUUAUUGUUUUUUGGCUGAGGAA